AUGGUGCCUAUCACUUGUUCGACGAAGUGCUCGACCCAGGUCGACACCACCGACAACGUCGACGAGGUCCAUGAUGCCGCCACCGCCCUUGACCUCGAGCCCACGGUCGACCCCAUCCACCAAGCAGUCGAGCAGCUCGCCCUGGAGCAGGCAAUGGCCUCUAGGGCCGAGGUCGUUUCUCAUGUGAUGACCAACACUGACGUCGACCCCAAGGCCGGCGUGCAGGAGCUCGAUGCCCUCUCUGUAUACACCUCCACCCAAGUGAUGAGCAAGGCAGACCACGGCGUUGCCCUCAUCAUCUCCAGCGACCCUGCUUUGCCGGUGCUCACCAUGUGUUCGACAGGCGGUCUAGUCCAGGAUGGCGCAUGGGUGAAGCCUGUUCAUCUUGUGGACAAGAGCAAAACCUCGUGCCUACCAUCGAUACAGCACGGAAUCGGGCAGCAACCAUGGCUGUCACCUGUGCGAGUGAGGACCAGACACAGCAGACAGCUGUUCAGGCCUAGCCCGUGGCCGUCUUUCAGGUUUCAUUUAGAUGCAAGUUAUCAGGAGGAGCCCUGUUCAGGUAUAUGUCGUCAAUCACAGGAAGUUUUAUGGUUCAGUUCUGAACUCGUUUUGAGGUUAUUCAGAGAUGUGGUUUUCCAUCAAGUUUCUUGUUGUGAGGUGAUUUCCAUGGAAGAGUAUAUCAGUUGUUUGUCAGAAGCACAGUUGCAGUCUAGGAGUCCACCGGAUCAGGCACCACCUAAUACUAAAGCAUUGAAUGAAUUGGCAUUUCUCAAUGUGGAUAUGUCUACAAGCAUAAGUGUUGAUGCAUGGUUAAGCUUGAGAUUCCUUGGAACAAACCAUAGGCUCAUUGAUACUGCACCACACGCUGGUCAUUGGAUUUAUUUGGAUUUCAGCAACAUAGGUUGUCAGGGUCGGCAGUCCUGUACAUGCUCUCUAGUGCAACUGAUGGCAGUAGCUGAAUAUUUUGCCCAUUGGGAUAUCAUCUAUGAUUUUGCUAACGGAUUAGAAAUCUGUAGAAUGCAUACAAAGGCACUACAGAUUGUGGAUGAAUUAGUUAGUACCUUUCAGGUGGAAUUAUGCCAUGCUGGUGAUCUUGAGUGCAACCUCCCUCGACACUGCAUAAGGAUACCCCAUGUUCAGAUUUUCUGCUUGUCGUCUUUGCAACAGAACACUGAUGAUUCAUGUUUCGCUAAGCAACUAUUACAUGAAGUCUGCUUUAUGCAGUCCUCUUAUAAAUUAUGUGCUCAAAAGGCACCAUCGGUGUUCAAGUUCAGUCACAAAAUUGUUCGCUUGAAGCUACCAAAUUACAUGAAUGAAGGCAUUCCAUGUGUCCAGCCAACAUAUUACCUUGAAGGAGGCUCUGCUUGA
rnacentral:rRNA from 1 species